rnacentral:lncRNA from 1 species
GAUGUGUCAAUGAUUGUGUGGGUUCUAGAAAUUUCUGACACUGUGUUUGUAUUUAUAGCUGACAUGUGUAUUCCUGGACCAAUGGGAUAAUGCCACCUGGAAUUGGACCUUGCUUGGCUCUGCCUUGGACUUUUGACCUUAAGGACUUAUCUGCAAAAUAGGAAAAUUGAAGGACCAAACAGCAAAUAAGAAAAAGCGGACUAAAAUGCAAUUUAUAAACUGUUUAGGGACUAAAAUGCAAUUAAAAAAUAAAAUUGGACUAAAAUUGGUAAUUUGAAAAAAACGUAAAGUGAAACCAAAAGUAAAAUC